GCGCAGAUGCUUUCAGUUCCACUAACGGACACACAUGAUGCAACUUAUCAGCAGGGAGUACUGAGGCCUCCAGGGCAGUCUGGGAUGUGCUUUGGGAGCCAGCCGGGUCCAGGGCACCCAGCCACCACCACUUCAUCCACAGCAAGACGUCAGGACACACGCUCAGCUCAGAUGAGGCCUGGGCCUCUAUUUUAGAGCUUACUUUAGAUCAGACCAGACAAUAACAGACAUGUUUUGCUCUUCCCAGGUCUGCGGUCCCAAGGCUUUAGCUGGAUCCCACCUUCACCUCUGUGUGGAAUUAUAAUUUGUCUGGAAUGCAAACAGGCCGUUCAGGCAGCUUUUCCGCCUCCCCUCCCUUGCCUGCAAACUUCGGUCAUAUGGGCAGAAUCCCAUCAGCUUGACCAGGCUCCUGGAGGCCUGCAGAAAACCUGCCCACCCAGGAUGCCUCUCUUGCUGGGAGCACUCUCUCACCUUUGGGCCAUGUCAACACUAGAAAUUCUCAUCAUCCGGUGAGAUCCCAGACUCUGCUUCCAUAGACACCCUCAUCCUCCCCAUGUCUAUGCGGUUUGCAUGCUCAGCUAGUCCUCAGCUCCUCCAGGCAGAUGUGGGCCUGAGCGCCGGCUCUUUCCAUCUCCAGCAGGAAUUUGUAAGGUCAAGUAUCUGGUGGGGUUUUAAGAAUCAUCUCUGGGCUGCUGAGAGAAGGGCCCAUUGUUCUGUAAUCAGGGUGCUAAUGGGAGUCUGGGAUGUGCUGAGGGUUUCACAGCCCGUGGGUGAGGCCCUAAUGGGGGCUUCUGGGAGGAGAAAAGACUACGCUGAGCCAAGGUACUUGGUUCCAAAAUAAGUUGUGCAGUGAAGGGCCGCUUACCAGACAGUGGAGCUGGGAUGCCAGGAAACCAGUGGGCACUGCAUCAGCACUGUAAGGCUCACUGGCAGUGGCAGCCCUUUGGAGGCCUCCCUUGAGGACAGGGCACACUGGACACAUGGGACACAGACCCCGUGUGCUUGGGCGGGAGGGACAAAGGCACCGGCCAGCACACCUGGCAGAGACAUGUGUCCAGAUCGGACAUGGGGAGCUGGCAGGAGACCUGAGAGUGUGGCUGGGGUGACACACAAGAAAGAGAGGCUUCAGGACAGGUGGGCUUUUAGCAAAAGGAGUGGCUCCAAGUCAGACGCAGGUGGAAGGCUCAUGUCUGCAUCUGGAAGGGCCUCUGGGGUGCUGACUGGCAACUGAGGCUUUGUCACCAGCUGUGUCCCCAUGCUCCGGUGGCACCCAAGCCCGGGCGGUGCCUCUCUCUUAUCCCAAGCAUCUCUUCCCACAUCGGCUAGGAUUUCUGUGCCUGAAAUAAGUCAUGUCUCUCGAGUACAAAUAAUCAGAAGAAUAAAAGUAUACUUUCCAAGAUUAGUUAUCCUGAAUGCUCCAAGCCCACAUUCUGUAAACAUGUGAAUAUUAGUUUAGCCACUGAAAGAAAGGACAGCCUUAAAAACUCACUUUUUGAUUAUAAAGAAAACUACAGAUGAGCAAUCAUUUUUUUUUUGAAAGGUUAUUUUGGUUAAAAGCUCCCCCUAUAUUUAUUUUCCUUGUGAAAUAGUUUAACUCCUCUGGUUUGCAUUGGUCAUGACACUUAGUGUUCCUUUUGAAAUUCAACAGGCUGGACAGCAAAAUUCCAGUCAAAUUAGGGAUGCAAAACAAUGUGCUGUGACAGUUUUCCUAAGGGUGUCCUUCACCCCGUAAGCGGUCAUCCUGACAAGAGACACCCCACCCCAACCCUGUGCCAAGCCACCCAUAGGAGCAGCUGCUCCCAACACCAUACCAGGCCAGUCGGACUCCUGACUCCUUUAACCACGAGGAAAUAUUUACCUAUCGCCUUAAAAAUACUUUUCUGCUUUCAAUAUUACUGUUGGCAAAUAAAUAGUGUUUCUUAACGUCUGAGGUGAAACAGCAGGAAUGAACCUUCCUGGGGUCCCUGUGAAAUGGUUCCGCUGAAGUCUGCCUCAAGAUGUCUUCAUGGGGAUGCAGAACAAGAAGAUGGGCCAAAGCACUUCACACAGAGCCCAAGACCUACUCAGAGAACAGUCGUUUUAAAGGUCAGGCCAUUCAACCUGAGUUAUUGCCUCUCGUGCUGACUUGCCGACGGCUUGGCAGCAGUUCCCCACCUGGCCCAGCGCAGCAUUAUUUCGGGCUCUGUGACUGUGAUCAGUUCUCUCCUGCCCGCCCCUGCUUCCCAGAUCACCUCAUCUCCCCACAGUUGCUGGUCUAACUGUUGAGUAUAUGGAGCCUCCCCUUUGUGGAAUGUGUUCUUUGGGGCCCUGGCACCCCUGGAAGUUUGCAGUCAAACAGUGUAGUUUCCCUGAAGGAGAGACUAGGUCUCAACAUCUGGAAAGCCUAGCGCCAUCUACUCAGGGAUGGAGCUGGAAAGCCUGAUAUGUCUACACAGGGAUGAAACUGCAAAGCUCAGCACCAUCUGAGCAGGGGGUGAAGCUGGUGCUCAGUCCACAACCACUGAUGGAGACUGAUGCCCUCCUUUGAAAAUGGAAAAUCAUGAGCUGAAAAGUCUGUCAUAUUGGUAAACAUGUGUGGCUGAAACAAGUCAUCUCUGCACAGGGAUUUGCUGACUGCCCUCACCCACAGUAAUAGCAUUGCCCAAAGGCACACUGUGGUUCUGGGACACUGAUCACAGCUUGUUUCCAUCUGCCUUUCUGGGGUCACCUUUGAUCCCCUUAUGAGGGUUAUGAGGGUUUCUUUCUCCUCCUGCCCCUGAGCUGCAUGCUGCUGCCCCCCGCCCCCGCCCAAAGUCCUCAGUGCGCACCUCGAUGUUCACUGUCACUGCGCAGCUCCAUGCCCGCUUGGUAUCUGACUCCAAAGCCUUCUAAGAGCCCAUCCUUUCUGGCAUUAAGCACUUGGAACCUUUCCCGAGGAACCUCUCUGCCUACAUGUAGGCACGUAGAUUUUAACCUCUCCACAUAGCCAGAGUAGUAUUUCUGAAAGUCAAUCUCAACACAUCCUUUCUUGACUUAAAAGAUAGGUUCACAUAGUUACCAGCAUAAACCUCAAAUCACAGGGCUUGGUUGACCUGGCCCCUUGGGGACCCCCAUCUACUUCCUGUUUACCCUCUGCUCUCUUCCCAGGCAACCUCAGUAAUCUGUGCUCUGUUCAUCCUAAAUUGUUUCUGUCUGAAGACAGAAAUACGGAAACUGCUGUCCUUAACUGCCACAUCUUGGAAUAUUCCACCCUUUCUUCCCCAGUCUUCUCCUCCUUCUCCUCCUGGCCAGGUUGGAUUUAACUUAGACCUCACCUCCUCCAGGGAGCCUUCCAAGACCACCCAAUUCCCCAUCUCCCCAAUCUGCCCUGUAGGUACACAGGAAACAGGAAUGUAUGGACCUGUUUAUUUAUACGAAAAUACCUCUGCCCCCAUUAACCUCUAAGUUCUUUAGGGCAAGCAAGGUCUGUUCAUAAUUGUCCAAUGUUUUAUCUUCAGGGACGAUCCCAAAGCCUGGAUCUUAAUAAAUGCUGGGUUAGGAUCACAACAGCAGAGACUGAUUCAGGCUGCAAUGGGAUCUGUGUUUUUAUCUUAAGCAAUACCUAAAGAGAAUUCAGACUCCCAGCCAGAUCUGUGGGGCACUAACCCCUGGUAUGGAGGGUCGCUUAGCCUGAUCCCCCAGGACCUGAGGACUCCAUGGCUCUGUGCAACCUUCCCUUUGCUUAUGAAGGAUGAAAGCAUCUGCUUCCUUAGAAGCAAAACGUUGACUCUGCCUUCAAUUUUAAUUUACCAAGUUACUCCAUGGAGGAGCGAUUUUCCAACCUCACUGCAUCUGAGAAACAAGCAGCUUGAACAUGUGACUGUUGGGCCCAUCACAUAGAAAUUCAGGUUCAAUUGGCUGGAUGUGGAGCCGUCCCACCAGACACCGUUAUUAAGUUUCUUGAAGUUGAGAAUGCCUGCAACAGGGAAUACCCAAGAAAAUUCUGUGACUGACACUGCUGAAACUCAAUGCAAGUUUUACUGACAUCAAGAAGACCUUUCUAUUUUCAAGCUAAGAAAGUUAGUAAUUAUUAACCUUAAAGCAAGGUAAUUUGCUGUAGGGUUUAGUUUUAAAGCCAGCCAGACAUCCUCCAUGGGGACACGAUUGUGAUAAGUGUCUGUGGUAAGUCAUGGCCAUUUUCAUGACUUUUGUACAAAAUAUGGGGAUUGGAAGACUGAGCUACAAGCGAUGCUAGCAAAAGAGUAAGUGUAACUAUUGAGGCUGGUUUUGAAUUAUAACUUCGCCAAAGAGCAUUUCAAAGCAGUAUGUUCUUUUUCUUCCCUUCUCUCUUAAAAAACGAGGCUGUAUUUUUUCACAUUUGGUAAAAAGAAUGCUCAGAAUCUUCCACCCAGAGCUCCAAGCUGUAGCCAAACUGAUUGAUCGGCCCCAGAAGGCCACCUAGAAGAGAUCUCUGAGGUUGCAUAUUCACUACUCAAGGAACAGCAACAUCAUUGCCCAGUUUCUCUACCCAAAACCAAAGAAUGCUCAAAGCGCCUCACCUUUACUAUUCUUCUUCUUCUUUUUUUUUUUUUUUUUUUUUUUUUUGCCUUUUCUUGGGCCGCUCCUGCGGCACAUAGAGGUUCCCAGGCUAGGGGUUGAAUCAGAGCUGCAGCUGCUGACCCACGCCUGAACCACAGCAACGCCAGAUCCGAGCUGCAUCUGUGACCUAUGCCAUAGCUCACAGCAACGCUGGAUCCCUCUAACCCACUGAGCAAGGCCAGGGAUCAAACCCACAACCUCAUGGUUCCUAGUCGGAUUCGUUAACCACUGAACCACAAUGGGAGCUCCUUACUCUUCUAUACUACCACCACCACUUGAUCCUUGGGAAUGCUCCCUGGUGUCCAUUUCUUCCCUCCACUGCAGUCUGGCCCUGUCAUCCCUGACCUCUAUUCCAGCCCUGGUGUCUCAAGCCCAGUUCUGCAAACCUUAAGUGGUUUUCUUUACUAUAGACAGAAUGAUAUUUCUAAAUUUUAAAUCUCAUUAUAAUCCUUCUUGCUUAACACCCUCUGGUGACCUCACUGCCACCAGGACAGAGGCAGACCUAACCCCCAUGGCUUAUAACACCCUGCAGGAGCCUUCUCCUGCUUCCGCACAAAACCUGUCUUUCUCCACCCUGCAUUUUCUGCGUUAGUCAGAAAGUUUCUUAAAUUGACUUUGCUCUAUUUUAUGGGGAGAGCUCUGAGCAUUCCACGUCUGUGUGAAAUAAGAUUUGCCUUUCUUGACCUCUAGGCAAUGCCUGCUCAUCCUUUGGAAUUCAGCUUAAAAAUGGUACUUCCCCCAGGAAGCCUUUCUUCUUUGGGAAUGUGCCUUCACUGUAGCCUAUGUCCCAUUAUCACAACUGGCGUGAUUUACACACACACUUUUGUCUCAUUCAGAUCAUUAAUUCUUAAGGUGAGAGGCUCAUGUUCACCCUGAACCCUCAGUGCACUGGGGGUUCACACAACUAGGUGAUAGAAACCUCUGCUCUUGCAUCUGCACCUUUCCACACCUGCUGGCUUCUCCUAGAGGAGCCUGAGUGAGGUCAACUGAAAAGUGGUUAAAUGCUGAAGCUUUACUCCAUCACCAUCUCUUUACCCUCACUGGACUUUGGCCCAGGUAGAAUGUCUUCGCCUUUUACUGUUUCCCUCCAAAUCCCAAGGACACGGUGGGUUUGAUUAGAUGUGUUUCUGGGAUGUAUGUGCACAUGCAUGGUUUCAUGUUUCCAGGCCUACACAUACUGUGAUUACUUGUUAUACAGACAUGGAUCAAACAUCAGCUCUUUUAAAAACCCUGGAUACUUUCACAACUAAAACAUGGAUGCAACACUAGUGCCCAUCAACAAAUAAUCAAUGGACAAGUGAACAUAGCACAUGGAUAUAUUGGAAUAUUACUCAGCCUCAGAAGGAAGGAAAUUCUGAUACUUGCCACAUCAAGGAUGCAUCUCGGGGAUGUUAUGCUGAGUGAGACAAGCCAGUCCUCUAAGGAUGAACAGUCAUAUGCGGCCCCUAGAGCUAUGGAUUCAUAGAAACAGAAAAUAGCCUGGUGUUUGCCAGGGGCUGGGGGAGGGGGAGGGAUGUUUGUUUUUAGUGGGAACAGAAUUUCAGUUUGGGAAGAUGACAAAGUUCUGGGGAUGGUGGCGGGUAUGGCUGCACAAUGAUGUGAAUGUGCUUAGUGCUGCUGAAUGUACACUUAAAUAUGGCUAAGAUGGUAAAUUUUAUGCUGUGGGUAUUUCCACAGGAAGAAAACCCAGCAAACAAACCCUUCCUGGGCUCCCCCAGGCCAGCCUGCCAUAUUAGUCUGUGGUCGGGUCAUAAGAAGGGUUUCCACCAGAGAUGGUGAGGACCAGUUUCAUUAGGACACGUGCAAGUGCCUUGGUUCCCAGAGGCCUUUGGCACAUGCUCAGUUCUUUAUUCGAGAGUGAACUGUCAUUUCAAAGGCUUUUUCUGCUUUAAUUUACCUCCUUUGGAUAAUUUUGAAAGGGGCCCUUCCAGGUUAGUGUUCUGUCUUCUUGGAGAUUAUUGACAAUAAGAGACGGCAGAACUUGACAUUUCUUUGAACCCUGUUUGCCUUGGUGGCUUCAGUAAUGUGAACAGUCAAUGUGCCUCAGACUUUAGAUAUAUUGUUAGAUUUCCUUAGUCUCUAGUAUUUUUGCAGGAGUCUCUUUGGUGACCUAUCUCCAAACUUGGAGACCAAACAGUAAUUCUGGGGAAUCUGAAAAGUUUGACUAUAUAGAACUAAGCAACCACUAGAAGUGAAUUUGAAGUAUAUAUUCUGCUUACAUUUAUUUAUUUAUUUAUUUUUGUCUUUUGUCUUUUUAGGGCCGUACCUGUGGCAUAUGGAGAUUCCCAGGCUAGGGGUUGAAUUGGAGCUGUGGUCCCCGGCCUACGCCACAGCCACAGCAACACAGGAUCCGAGCCACAUCUGUGACCUACACCACAGCUCAUGGCAAUGCCAGAUCCUUAACCCACUGAGCAAGGCCAGGGUUGAACCCGCAUCCUCAUGUAUGCUAGUUGGGCUUGUUAACCACUGAGCCAUGAUGGGAACUCCCUAUUUUUUUUUUUUAAAGAAUUGUUAGCAAUGCUUUUUCAAAACACAAGAAAAUAUCUAAUGAAAAUGUAACCGUAUAUGUUGAAAGACACACGUUUUACUCUAAGAGUAAUGGAACCAGACAUUGGGUUUAGGAGAUGAGAGUCGAACUGAAUUAUGUUUUGUGAGGAAUCUGACAAAAGAGAUAAGUUAGAGCUGAGAAGAAAGCUAAAAAAUCGAGAGAGAUAUUCCUUGUGCAGAUUACAACCAGAGGAGCCAGCCUGCAGGUGCUGAGUGGAUAUAAUGCAGAUUUCAUUUUAUGUGCUUCAUGCAUUUUAUUUUAAAGGAAACACAGGAUUGAACCAACUGAUGUUUAAAGCUUUGAUUGCCAUGUGAAAUUAUUACAAAACAGAAGUAUUUACUACAUUAAGCUAUAGAAGUGGGAUAUUUUAUUUAAUUUCAAUUUUUAUUUAUUUUUAAGUACUAAGUGCCUUUUAUUACAUUUAUAGUUGUACAAUGAUCAUCACAACCCGAUUUUAUAGCAUUUCGAAUUGGGAUAUUAAUUAAGAAACAUUUUUGGAAAACCAAAACAUUUACCUCUAGAUUUUCAAUAAACCUACUGCACGA
rnacentral:lncRNA from 1 species